rnacentral:rRNA from 1 species
GGGUUGUGAGGUUAAGCGACUAAGCGUACACGGUGGAUGCCCUGGCAGUCAGAGGCGAUGAAGGACGUGCUAAUCUGCGAAAAGCGUCGGUAAGGUGAUAUGAACCGUUAUAACCGGCGAUGUCCGAAUGGGGAAACCCAGUGCAAUUCGUUGCACUAUCGUUAACUGAAUACAUAGGUUAACGAGGCGAACCGGGGGAACUGAAACAUCUAAGUACCCCGAGGAAAAGAAAUCAACCGAGAUUCCCCCAGUAGCGGCGAGCGAACGGGGAGCAGCCCAGAGUCUGAAUCAGCUUGUGUGUUAGUGGAACGGUCUGGAAAGUCCGACGGUACAGGGUGAUAGUCCCGUACACCAAAAUGCACAGGCUGUGAACUCGAAGAGUAGGGCGGGACACGUGGUAUCCUGUCUGAAUAUGGGGGGACCAUCCUCCAAGGCUAAAUACUCCUGACUGACCGAUAGUGAACCAGUACCGUGAGGGAAAGGCGAAAAGAACCCCGGCGAGGGGAGUGAAAAAGAACCUGAAACCGUGUACGUACAAGCAGUGGGAGCACCUUCGGGUGUGACUGCGUACCUUUUGUAUAAUGGGUCAGCGACUUAUAUUCUGUAGCAAGGUUAACCGUAUAGGGGAGCCGCAGGGAAACCGAGUCUUAACUGGGCGUUAAGUUGCAGGGUAUAGACCCGAAACCCGGUGAUCU